rnacentral:rRNA from 1 species
UUGUAAUCUAGAGAAGUGUUAUCCGCGCUGGACCGUGUACAAGUCUCCUGGAAUGGAGCGUCAUAGAGGGUGAGAAUCCCGUCUUUGACACGGAUUGCCAGGGCUUUGUGAUACACUCUCAAAGAGUCGAGUUGUUUGGGAAUGCAGCUCAAAAUGGGUGGUAAAUUCCAUCUAAAGCUAAAUAUUGGCGAGAGACCGAUAGCGAACAAGUACCGUGAGGGAAAGAUGAAAAGAACUUUGGAAAGAGAGUUAAACAGUACGUGAAAUUGCUGAAAGGGAAACGCUUGAAGUCAGUCGCGUUGUCCAGGGAUCAACCUUGCUUUUGCUUGGUGUACUUUCUGGUUGACGGGUCAGCAUCAAUUUUGACUAUUGGAAAAAGAUUAAGGGAAUGUGGCAUCUUUGGAUGUGUUAUAGCCCUUGGUUGCAUACAAUGGUUGGGAUUGAGGAACUCAGCACGCCGCAAGGCCGGGUUUUUAACCACGUACGUGCUUAGGAUGCUGGCAUAAUGGCUUUAAUCGACCCGUCUUGAAACACGGACCAAGGAGUCUAACAUGCCUGCGAGUGUUUGGGUGGAAAACCCGAGCGCGUAAUGAAAGUGAAAGUUGAGAUCCUUGUCAUGGGGAGCAUCGACGCCCGGACCAGACCUUUUGUGACGGUUCCGCGGUAGAGCAUGUAUGUUGGGACCCGAAAGAUGGUGAACUAUGCCUGAAUAGGGUGAAGCCAGAGGAAACUCUGGUGGAGGCUCGUAGCGAUUCUGACGUGCAAAUCGAU